GACGAACGCUGGCGGCGUGCUUAACACAUGCAAGUCGAACGGUAAGGCCCCAGCUUGCUGGGGUACACGAGCGGCGAACGGGUGAGUAACACGUGGGUGACCUGCCCCGCACUUCGGGAUAAGCCUGGGAAACUGGGUCUAAUACCGGAUAGGACCGCACCGUGAGGGUGUGGUGGAAAGUUUUUCGGUGUGGGAUGGGCCCGCGGCCUAUCAGCUUGUUGGUGGGGUAAUGGCCUACCAAGGCGGCGACGGGUAGCCGGCCUGAGAGGGUGGACGGCCACAUUGGGACUGAGACACGGCCCAGACUCCUACGGGAGGCAGCAGUGGGGAAUAUUGCACAAUGGGCGGAAGCCUGAUGCAGCGACGCCGCGUGGGGGAUGACGGCCUUCGGGUUGUAAACUCCUUUCACCAUCGACGAAGGUUUUCUGACGGUAGAUGGAGAAGAAGCACCGGCUAACUACGUG
rnacentral:rRNA from 1 species